AGUGAACGCUGGCGGUAGGCCUAACACAUGCAAGUCGAACGGCAGCACAGUAAGAGCUUGCUCUUACGGGUGGCGAGUGGCGGACGGGUGAGGUAUACAUCGGAAUCUACUUUUUCGUGGGGGAUAACGUAGGGAAACUUACGCUAAUACCGCAUACGACCUACGUGUGAAAGCAGGGGAUCUUCGGACCUUGCGCGAUUGAAUGAGCCUAUGUCGGAUUAGCUAGUUGGCGGGGUAAAGGCCCACCAAGGCGACGAUCCGUAGCUGGUCUGAGAGGAUGAUCAGACACAUGGGAGAUGAGACACGGUCCAGACUCCUACGGGAGGCAGCAGUGGGGAAUAUUGGACGAUGGGGGCGAGCCUGAUCCAGCCAUACCGCGUGGGUGAAGAAGGCCUUCGGGUUGUAAAGCCAUUUUGUUGGGAGAGAAAAGCAGCAGGUUAAUACCCCGCUGUUCUGACGGUACCCAAAGAAUAAGCACCGGCUAACUUCGUG
rnacentral:rRNA from 1 species